rnacentral:piRNA from 1 species
UGAGCCUUAUCAGGGUUCUAAAUCCAUGC